rnacentral:rRNA from 1 species
UACGGGGGGAGCAAGCGUUGUUCGGAUUUACUGGGCGUAAAGGGCGCGUAGGCGGCCACCGCAAGUCGAUUGUGAAAUCUCCGGGCUUAACCCGGAAAGGUCAACCGAUACUGCGGGGCUAGAGUGCAGAAGGGGCAACUGGAAUUCUCGGUGUAGCGGUGAAAUGCGUAGAUAUCGAGAGGAACACCUGCGGCGAAGGCGGGUCUCUGGGCCGAUACUGACGCUGAGGAGCGAAAGCGUGGGGAGCGAACAGG